rnacentral:tRNA from 1 species
GGGACGUUAGCUCAGCUGGUAGAGCAGCGGACUUUUAAUCCGUUGGUCACUGGUUCGAAUCCAGUACGUCCUACCA